GUGUUUCUGACUAAAACUGGUCCAUGUGACCAUCAGAAUACAUGUUACAGCUAAUAGACCAAUCAAAUCAGUUCACAGCUUCAAAACAUCCAAUAAGGUGUGAGUCUGGACCUGGUUUUCUACUGAACACACAAGUUCAUUAGAUCACUUGGUGUGAACAGGAACGAUGAUCAGACUCUUUGUCGCUCUUUGUGCUGUUUUUUCUCUCUUCACAGCUGAAAAACAGAAGACAGCGAUGAAGGAGAAUAUUUCUGUGGAGAAAUGGAAGGAAGUGUAGUGAAGUUCACAUCUAAAAGACGUCUGCAAUUUGAAGGUGAGAGCUGUAGUGCUAACAUGCGUGCGUUCUUCUGGCUCUCCAUUUCAAGAAUCGGAGUUCUCAGCAUUACAGUUAUUACCCUUACAAUGUGCCACAAGGUUUUAAAAUCAAGAUCUUAAACUUGAUAAUUGGCUUUUAACUGUUAUCUGUGUUGCUCUAACUGUAUUUUCCAGUACAUGACAUUUAUUUUUUGUGCUUUUAGCUCAUUCUUGCUCUGCAAUUCCGUUCAAACAUCUUGUGCAGCAACACGUUGUGUGUGUGUGUGUGUGUGUGUGUGUGUGUG